CAAGGGCCUUGCCCAAGAGAGGUGCCAAACGAACGAAGUUGAGCCUGAUCGCCUCAGGAGAGCAGAACGACUCGUCAACAAGCCAGUCAGGUCUCUAGAAACCCUUCCAUUAUCAAAAGUACUUCCAGAAGAAUUCUUCACUGUGUCUGCUGUGUUGAAAACAGACUGAGGAGGGUGGAAGGGGCCGAGGCCAGAACCAAGGAGACCACUUCGGAAACUACAGCAAGAAUCCAGCCUCCAGGAUGAUAACAGCUUGGCCCAACCACUGUGUUGACCUGUUUGCCAUCUCUGAUCCCUGAUUUAUCGUGAAGAAGUCUGAUGUAAAACUAACCAGCCAUGAAGCCUGCACACCCUAUAACUCUGUGGAAGCAGGAACCAAGUCCUCCUAUAAGUCCCUAGGGCAGCUCUGUAUCCCCACCAUGGUGCCUGGCACAUAGACACCCCUCAUCCAUGUCUGGUGAGUGAAUGAUUGCAGGAACAAAUGAAUGAGUAACUCUAAUUAUGGAGUUGCAGUGUACUCUUCCUUUUUUGAGAUUCCAAAAGCAAAAUCACAAUUGUGAUGGGAACAUUCUCUUCAGAGCAUUUCCUACCCCAGGGGAAGAAACAAACUGAACAGGCACUGGAGAUUCAGGAAGCUGGAGAAGUGUCUCGAGCAGGAAGGAUGCUGGUUUCUCAGGUCUCUUUCUCCUUAUUCCUCAUAGGCCACACACCUUGCAUAUUGCAAAAUCCCUUUUAUCAUUUAAGAAUCUUAAAUGGCUGAUUUUUCUUUGUUCUAUCCUUAAUUUUGAAGCAAAAAAGGCUUAUUUUCUAAGAUAGGGGCAGCAAGAUCCACUCUAAGGAAGAAUUCAAAUCUUCAUAAACUUCCCUUAACACCUCAAAAUCUUAGUCCCAAGAUAACCUUGCUUGAGAUGUAAAAUUGCUUCGAGGUGGAAGACCACUCAGCCGUAAAAAUGAUCAACAACAUGAUAGAUACAAUAACAUGAAUGAAUCGCAAAAUAAUUUUGCUGAGAGAGAUCACACCAAACAUGAGUAUAUAUUGUAUGAUUCCAUUCAUAUAAAAUUCUAGAAAAUGCAAACUAAUCUACAGUGAUAGAAAGUGGUUGCCUGGUAGGUGGUGUGGGAAGAGGUGGGAGGCAGAGGUUACAAAAGGGUACCAGGAAAUUCUGGGUGGUGAUGGGCACGCUCCUUACUGUGAUUGUGGGAGUGGUUUCCCCGGUUCAUCCAUAUGUCAAAGCUUGUCAGACUGUACAUUGUAAACAUGUGAAGUGUAUUGGAUAUCAAUUAUACAUCAAUAAAGCUGUUUUUAAAAUUA